rnacentral:rRNA from 1 species
AUUGAACGCUGGCGGCAUGCCUUACACAUGCAAGUCGAACGGUAACAGGUCUUCGGAUGCUGACGAGUGGCGAACGGGUGAGUAAUACGUCGGAACGUGCCUAGUAGUGGGGGAUAACUACUCGAAAGAGUGGCUAAUACCGCAUGAGAUCUACGGAUGAAAGCAGGGGAUCGCAAGACCUUGUGCUACUAGAGCGGCCGAUGGCAGAUUAGGUAGUUGGUGGGAUAAAAGCUUACCAAGCCGACGAUCUGUAGCUGGUCUGAGAGGACGAUCAGCCACACUGGGACUGAGACACGGCCCAGACUCCUACGGGAGGCAGUAGUGGGGAAUUUUGGACAAUGGGCGCAAGCCUGAUCCAGCAAUGCCGCGUGCAGGAUGAAGGCCUUCGGGUUGUAAACUGCUUUUGUACGGAACGAAAAGCCCCGGGUUAAUACCCUGGGGUCAUGACGGUACCGUAAGAAUAAGCACCGGCUAACUACGUGCCAGCCGCCGCGGUAA